rnacentral:rRNA from 1 species
AUUGAACGCUGGCGGCAUGCCUUACACAUGCAAGUCGAACGGCAGCACGGGAGCAAUCCUGGUGGCGAGUGGCGAACAGGUGAGCAGAGUAUCGGAACGUGCCCAGUCGUGGGGGAUAACGUAGCGAAAGUUACGCUAAUACCGCAUACGAUCUAUGGAUGAAAGCGGGGGAUCGCAAGACCUCGCGCGAUUGGAGCGGCCGAUAUCAGAUUAUGUAGUUGGUGGGGCAAAGGCUCACCAAGCCGACGAUCUGUAGCUGGUCUGAGAGGACGACCAGCCACACUGGGACUGAGACACGGCCCAGACUCCUACGGGAGGCAGCAGUGGGGAAUUUUGGACAAUGGGCGAAAGCCUGAUCCAGCCAUGCCGCGUGCAGGAUGAAGGCCUUCGGGUUGUAAACUGCUUUUGUACGGAACGAAAAGGUUUGGCCUAAUAAGCUGAGCUCAUGACGGUACCGUAAGAAUAAGCACCGGCUAACUACGUGCCAGCCGCCGCCGUAA